rnacentral:rRNA from 1 species
UGAUUCUGGCUCAGGAUGAACGCUAGCUACAGGCUUAACACAUGCAAGUCGAGGGGCAGCAUGGUCUUAGCUUGCUAAGACUGAUGGCGACCGGCGCACGGGUGAGUAACACGUAUCCAACCUGCCGUCUACUCUUGGACAGCCUUCUGAAAGGAAGAUUAAUACAAGAUGGCAUCAUGAGUCCGCAUGUUCACAUGAUUAAAGGUAUUCCGGUAGACGAUGGGGAUGCGUUCCAUUAGAUAGUAGGCGGGGUAACGGCCCACCUAGUCUUCGAUGGAUAGGGGUUCUGAGAGGAAGGUCCCCCACAUUGGAACUGAGACACGGUCCAAACUCCUACGGGAGGCAGCAGUGAGGAAUAUUGGUCAAUGGGCGAGAGCCUGAACCAGCCAAGUAGCGUGAAGGAUGACUGCCCUAUGGGUUGUAAACUUCUUUUAUAAAGGAAUAAAGUCGGGUAUGCAUACCCGUUUGCAUGUACUUUAUGAAUAAGGAUCGGCUAACUCCGUGCCAGCAGCCGCGGUAAUACGGAGGAUCCGAGCGUUAUCCGGAUUUAUUGGGUUUAAAGGGAGCGUAGAUGGAUGUUUAAGUCAGUUGUGAAAGUUUGCGGCUCAACCGUAAAAUUGCAGUUGAUACUGGAUAUCUUGAGUGCAGUUGAGGCAGGCGGAAUUCGUGGUGUAGCGGUGAAAUGCUUAGAUAUCACGAAGAACUCCGAUUGCGAAGGCAGCCUGCUAAGCUGCAACUGACAUUGAGGCUCGAAAGUGUGGGUAUCAAACAGGAUUAGAUACCCUGGUAGUCCACACGGUAAACGAUGAAUACUCGCUGUUUGCGAUAUACAGCAAGCGGCCAAGCGAAAGCGUUAAGUAUUCCACCUGGGGAGUACGCCGGCAACGGUGAAACUCAAAGGAAUUGACGGGGGCCCGCACAAGCGGAGGAACAUGUGGUUUAAUUCGAUGAUACGCGAGGAACCUUACCCGGGCUUAAAUUGCAGAUGAAUUACGGUGAAAGCCGUAAGCCGCAAGGCAUCUGUGAAGGUGCUGCAUGGUUGUCGUCAGCUCGUGCCGUGAGGUGUCGGCUUAAGUGCCAUAACGAGCGCAACCCUUGUUGUCAGUUACUAACAGGUUCCGCUGAGGACUCUGACAAGACUGCCAUCGUAAGAUGUGAGGAAGGUGGGGAUGACGUCAAAUCAGCACGGCCCUUACGUCCGGGGCUACACACGUGUUACAAUGGGGGGUACAGAGGGCCGCUACCACGCGAGUGGAUGCCAAUCCCAAAAACCUCUCUCAGUUCGGACUGGAGUCUGCAACCCGACUCCACGAAGCUGGAUUCGCUAGUAAUCGCGCAUCAGCCACGGCGCGGUGAAUACGUUCCCGGGCCUUGUACACACCGCCCGUCAAGCCAUGGGAGCCGGGGGUACCUGAAGUGCGUAACCGCGAGGAGCGCCCUAGGGUAAAACUGGUGACUGGGGCUAAGUCGUAACAAGGU